UCCGAGUAGGCGUGGGGUGUGGCAGCAGUUAGUGGUUUGGGGGUACAUCUGGAGAUACUACACUGGGAGUCGAGGUGGGAGGACAUUUUGCAAGCUGUCCCAGCCCCUCCUCGGGGGACCCUGAGGAAGGGAAGGGAGGAGGAGCAAUGUGACAGCUGUUGGCCAACCACACCCUCCUCUCCUGCACAGGAAAAAGGAGUGCUUGCAACAAGCAUGGCGGACUGAGAUACACUGAGGAAGAGCAGCAGAGGAGGGCAGGAUGCGCCCUGCCGCGGAGAGUUAAGACAAGCCCUGUCGUCUGUGGGCUCUCACCUCAGAGUCAAUAUUAUCUCAGAUGGGCACAAUAGACUGGAAUGAAAAGCUAAUAUUGAACCAACGCGGUCCCUGCCGCGCCGCGCCGAUGCCACCCUUUGUCGCGCAGCCCCCGUAAAUCAGGAUGGGGUAUGUGGAGAGACUGACAGUUUUGAUGUGAUGAAGGAGGUAAAACUCAGUGGUCCUGCAUGUGCCUCCUGGAGCUGUGCAGAAUUCCCGAGGAAACGUUGACUCUCAACAGGAAUAUCAAGGGAGAUCCCGAGGCUCACGGCUCUCCGCUGGCAUCUGGACAGUGCCUGUCUCCUGCAGCCACCCCGGGCAGCAGAGGCCGGGACCAGCGUUGAGAUCCGCCUGCCAGGACUCGGCCCCUCGAGGUCGGCACCCAGAGCACCGCCCGAAGAGUUUGGAGAAGCGGAGUGACUGGGAAUCACAGUGAAUUACCGAACUUCCUAACUUGCCUCCCCGUCUCUGGUC